rnacentral:rRNA from 1 species
CUCACGCGGGCAGCUCACCGGAUAGGACAGCGGAAUGAUAGCCGGGCUGAAGACCUUGCUUGACCAGCUGAGAGGAGGUGCAUGGCCGUCGUCAGUUCGUACUGUGAAGCAUCCUGUUUAGUCAGGCAACGAGCGAGACCCACGCCAACAGUUGCUAGCAUGUUCUCCGGAAUGAUGAGGACACUGUUGGGACCGCCUCUGCUAAAGAGGAGGAAGGAAUGGGCAACGGUAGGCCAGCAUGCCCCGAAUUAUCCGGGCUACACGCGGGCUACAAUGGUCAGGACAAUGGGAAACGGCACUGAAAAGUGUAGUCAAUCUCCUAAACCUGUCCCAAGUUCGGAUUGUGGGCUGCAACUCGCCCACAUGAAGCUGGAAUCCGUAGUAAUCGCGUUUCAAAAUAGCGCGGUGAAUAAGUCCCUG